rnacentral:rRNA from 1 species
UACGUAGGUGGCAAGCGUUGUUCGGAAUUACUGGGCGUAAAGGGCGCGUAGGCGGCCUGCUAAGUCGAACGUGAAAUCCCCGGGCUCAACCCGGGAACUGCGUCCGAUACUGACAGGCUUGAAUCCGGGAGAGGGAUGUGGAAUUCCAGGUGUAGCGGUGAAAUGCGUAGAUAUCUGGAGGAACACCGGUGGCGAAGGCGGCAUCCUGGACCGGUAUUGACGCUGAUGCGCGAAAGCCAGGGGAGCAAACGGG